AUUUCCCUCUUUCUUCAUGCUUUACACAUGCAAGUCGAACGGCAGCGCGGGCUUCGGCCUGGCGGCGAGUGGCGAACGGGUGAGUAAUGCAUCGGAACGUGCCCAGUAGUGGGGGAUAGCCCGGCGAAAGCCGGAUUAAUACCGCAUACGACCUGAGGGUGAAAGCGGGGGACCGAAAGGCCUCGCGCUAUUGGAGCGGCCGAUGUCGGAUUAGCUAGUUGGUGGGGUAAAGGCUUACCAAGGCGACGAUCCGUAGCUGGUCUGAGAGGACGACCAGCCACACUGGGACUGAGACACGGCCCAGACUCCUACGGGAGGCAGCAGUGGGGAAUUUUGGACAAUGGGGGCAACCCUGAUCCAGCCAUGCCGCGUGCGGGAAGAAGGCCUUCGGGUUGUAAACCGCUUUUGUUCGGGAAGAAAUCCUCUGGGCUAAUACCCCGGGGGGAUGACGGUACCGGAAGAAUAAGCACCGGCUAACUACGUG
rnacentral:rRNA from 1 species